GGAGAGGUGCGAGAGUGGUUGAAUCGGCACGACUGGAAAUCGUGUGUACGCCCUGCGUACCGUGGGUUCGAAUCCCACCCUCUCCGCCG
rnacentral:tRNA from 1 species